rnacentral:rRNA from 1 species
UACGGAAGGCAGCAGUGGGGAAUAUUGCACAAUGGGCGAAAGCCUGAUGCAGCUAUGCCGCGUGUAUGAAGAAGGCCUUAGGGUUGUAAAGUACUUUCAUCGGGGAGGAAAAAACAAAACUAAUAAUUUUAUUUCUUGACGUUACCCGAAAAAGAAGCACCGGCUAACUCCGUGCCAGCAGCCGCGGUAAUACGGAGGGUGCUAGCGUUAAUCAGAAUUACUGGGCGUAAAGAGCACGUAGGUGGUUUUUUUAAGUCAGAUGUGAAAUCCCUGGGCUUAACCUAGGAACUGCAUUUUGAAACUGAAAUACUAGAGUAUCGUAGAGGGAGGUAGAAUUCUAGGUGUAGCGGUGAAAUGCGUAGAUAUCUGGAGGAAUACCUGUGGCGAAAGCGGCCUCCUAAACGAAUACUGACACUGAGGUGCGAAAGCGCGGGGAGCAAACAGGGAUUAGAUACC